CCUACGGGUGGCAGCAGUAAGGAAUAUUGGUCAAUGGACGCAAGUCUGAACCAGCCAUGCCGCGUGGAGGAUGAAGGUCCUCUGGAUUGUAAACUUCUUUUAUUUGGGAAGAAACUCCCGAUUUCCAUCGGGAUUGACGGUACCAGAUGAAUAAGCACCGGCUAACUCCGUGCCAGCAGCCGCGGUAAUACGGAGGGUGCAAGCGUUAUCGGGUUUCACGGGGUUGUAAGGGGGCGUGGGAGGGCGGGGUGAAAUCUCCGAGCUUAACCCGGAAACUGCCAUUGAUACUAUUUGUCUUGAAUACUCUGGAGGUGAGCGGAAUAUGUCAUGUAGCGGUGAAAUGCUUAGAUAUGACAUAGAACACCCAUUGCGAAGGCAGCUCACUACGGAAAUAUUGACGCUGAGGCACGAAAGCGUGGGGAUCAAACAGGAUUAGAUACCCGGGUAGUC
rnacentral:rRNA from 1 species